rnacentral:rRNA from 1 species
UACGGAGGGUGCAAGCGUUUAUUGGAAUUACUGGGGCGUAAAAGCGCGGGUAGGUGGUUUGAUAAGCGAGAUGUGAAAGCCCCGGGCUUCGACCUGGGAACGGCAUUUUGAACUGUCAGGCUUAGAGUUUGGUAGAGGAGUGUGGAAUUUCCUGUGUAGCGGUGAAAUGCGUAGAUAUAGGAAGGAACACCAGUGGCGAAGGCGGCACUCUGGACCAAUACUGACACUGAGGGACGAAAGCGUGGGUAGCGAACCGGAUUAGAUACCCGGGUAGUCCACGCCCUAAACGAUGGAUGCUAGUUGUCGGGCAGCAUGCUGUUCGGUGACGCAGCUAACGCACUAAGUAGACCGCCUGGGGAGUACGGCCGCAAGGUUAAAACUCAAAUGAAUUGACGGGGGCCCGCACAAGCGGUGGAGCAUGUGGUUUAAUUCGACGCAACGCGAAGAACCUUACCUGGCCUUGACAUGCUGAGAACUUUCCAGAGAUGGAUUGGUGCCUUCGGGAACUCAGACACAGGUGCUGCAUGGCCGUCGUCAGCUCGUGUCGUGAGAUGUUGGGUUAAGUCCCGUAACGAGCGCAACCCCUAUCCCUAGUUGCUAGCAGUUCGGCUGAGAACUCUAGGGAGACUGCCGGUGACAAACCGGAGGAAGGUGGGGAUGACGUCAGGUCAUCAUGGCCCUUACGGCCAGGGCUACACACGUGCUACAAUGGCGCGCACAGAGGGCUGCAAACCCGCGAGGGGGAGCCAAUCUCACAAAACGCGUCGUAGUCCGGAUCGGAGUCUGCAACUCGACUCCGUGAAGUCGGAAUCGCUAGUAAUCGCGGAUCAGAAUGCCGCGGUGAAUACAUUCCCGGGCCUUGUACACACCGCCCGUCACACCAUGGGAGUGGAUUGCAAAAGAAGUAGGUAGCUUAACCUUCGGGAG